rnacentral:rRNA from 1 species
UAUUGGGCAAUGGGCGCAAGCCUGACCCAGCAACGCCGCGUGACGGAAGAAGGCUUUCGGGUUGUAAACUUCUUUUCUGAGGGACGAACAAAUGACGGUACCUCAGGAAUAAGCCACGGCUAACUACGUGCCAGACGCCGCGGUAAUACGUAGGUGGCAAGCGUUAUCCGGAUUUAUUGGGUGUAAAGGGCGUGUAGGCGGGAAAGCAAGUCAGAAGUGAAAACUAUGGGCUCAACCCAUAGCCUGCAUUUGAAACUGUUUUUCUUGAGUGCUGGAGAGGCAAUCGGAAUUCCGUGUGUAGCGGUGAAAUGCGUAGAUAUACGGGGGAACACCAGUGGCGAAGGCGGAUUGCUGGACAGUAACUGACGCUGAGGCGCGAAAGCGUGGGGAGCAAACAGG